rnacentral:rRNA from 1 species
UACGGAGGGAGCUAGCGUUGUUCGGAAUUACUGGGCGUAAAGCGCACGUAGGCGGCUUUGUAAGUCAGAGGUGAAAGCCUGGAGCUCAACUCCAGAAUUGCCUUUGAGACUGCAUCGCUUGAAUCCAGGAGAGGUGAGUGGAAUUCCGAGUGUAGAGGUGAAAUUCGUAGAUAUCCGGAAGAACACCAGUGGCGAAGGCGACUUACUGGACACAUAUUGACGCUGAGGUGCGAAAAGCGUGGGGAGCAAACAGG